GGCUCGGUGGUGGAUGGUCCACAUCUGCUUCUUGUAAGAAAUAAUGCUCUGCCAACAUUAGCCAGCAGGAGAUGCCUGUUCGAAUCAGGUCCGAGCCA